UACGGAGGGUGCAAGCGUUGUCCGGAUUUAUUGGGUUUAAAGGGUGCGUAGGCGGCUUUUUAAGUCAGUGGUGAAAGACAACAGCUCAACUGUUGCAGUGCCAUUGAUACUGAAGAGCUUGAGUACAGAUGAGGUAGGCGGAAUUUAUGGUGUAGCGGUGAAAUGCAUAGAUACCAUAAAGAACACCUAUUGCGAAGGCAGCUUACUA
rnacentral:rRNA from 1 species